rnacentral:misc_RNA from 1 species
GAUGAAGAACGUAGCGAAAUGCGAUACGUAGUGUGAAUUGCAGAAUUCAGUGAAUCAUCGAGUCUUUGAACGCACAUUGCGCCCCCUGGUAUUCCGGGGGGCAUGCCUGUCCGAGCGUCAUUGCUGCCCUCAAGCACGGCUUGUGUGUUGGGCCCCGUCCUCCGAUCCCGGGGGACGGGCCCGAAAGGCAGCGGCGGCACCGCGUCCGGUCCUCGAGCGUAUGGGGCUUUGUCACCCGCUCUGUAGGCCCGGCCGGCGCUUGCCGAUCAACCCAAAUUUUUUAUCCAGGUUGACCUCGGAUCAGGUAGGGAUACCCGCUGAACUUAAGCAUAUCAAUAAGCGGAGGA